UACGUUCAUCCUACAAAAGGACGGAAGUAGCACUAUGCGAAGGAACGCACU
ncrna:unclassified sequences Glutamine riboswitch